UACGAAGGGGGCUAGCGUUGUUCGGAAUCACUGGGCGUAAAGCGCACGUAGGCGGACGUUUAAGUCAGGUGUGAAAUCCCAGGGCUCAACCCUGGAACUGCCCUUGAUACUGGACGUCUCGAGUCCGGGAGAGGUGAGUGGAACUCCGAGUGUAGAGGUGAAAUUCGUAGAUAUUCGGAAGAACACCAGUGGCGAAGGCGGCUCACUGGCGCGGUACUGACGCUGAGGUGCGAAAGCGUGGGGAGCAAACAGG
rnacentral:rRNA from 1 species